rnacentral:rRNA from 1 species
AGAGUUUGAUCCUGGCUCAGGAUGAACGCUAGCUACAGGCUUAACACAUGCAAGUCGAGGGGCAGCAUGGGGGUUGCUUGCAAUCCCUGAUGGCGACCGGCGCACGGGUGAGUAACGCGUAUCCAACCUGCCCAUGGCUGGGGGAUAACCUUGCGAAAGCAAGCCUAAUACCCCAUGGCCUCAUCCCGGGGCAUCCCGGUUUGAGUAAAGGAUUCCCGGCCAUGGAUGGGGAUGCGUCCGAUUAGCUUGCCGGUGGGGUGACGGCCCACCGGGGCGACGAUCGGUAGGGGUUCUGAGAGGAAGGUCCCCCACACUGGAACUGAGACACGGUCCAGACUCCUACGGGAGGCAGCAGUGAGGAAUAUUGGUCAAUGGGCGCGAGCCUGAACCAGCCAAGUAGCGUGCAGGACGACGGCCCUAUGGGUUGUAAACUGCUUUUGCGCGGGGAUAACUUCCGCCACGUGUGGCGGCUUGCAGGUACCGCGUGAAUAAGGACCGGCUAAUUCCGUGCCAGCAGCCGCGGUAAUACGGAAGGUCCGGGCGUUAUCCGGAUUCAUUGGGUUUAAAGGGAGCGUAGGCCGCGCGUCAAGCGUGCCGUGAAAUGCCGUGGCUCAACCAUGGCACCGCGGCGCGAACUGUCGCGCUUGAGUGGGCUCGAGGCAGGCGGAAUUCGUGGUGUAGCGGUGAAAUGCUUAGAUAUCACGAGGAACCCCGAUUGCGAAGGCAGCCUGCCAGCGCCGCACUGACGCUGAAGCUCGAAGGCGUGGGUAUCGAACAGGAUUAGAUACCCUGGUAGUCCACGCGGUAAACGAUGGACGCUCGCCGUGGGUCCUAUAUGGUUCCGUGGCCAAGCGAAAGCGUUAAGCGUCCCACCUGGGGAGUACGCCGGCAACGGUGAAACUCAAAGGAAUUGACGGGGGCC